ACUGGUUCAUGGAUUGCGGGAUAAAACUUACCAGGAAAGGUUAAAGGAUCUUAACAUGUAUAGCUUGGAGGAAAGACAAGACAGGGGGGAUAUGAUAGAAACAUUUAAAUAUAUAAAGGGAAUCAACACAGUAAAGGAGGAGACUAUAUUUAAAAGAAGAAAAACUACCACAACAAGAGGACAUGGUCUUAAAUUAGAGGGACAAAGGUUUAAAAAUAAUAUCAGGAAGUAUUACUUUACUGAGAGGG